UUAUAUUGGGUUUCUUCUAGUC
rnacentral:siRNA from 1 species